UCCCCCUCCCGGUCACCCCUACACACCCUGGGCUCUCCACUUAGGCGGGGACCUGCAGGACAGGGACCGGCCGGCCAACCACGCCCCCCCCAACCCCCGAGAUACUCGCUGAGGAACGGGUGGGUCCCUUCCCACUCCUCAGCUCCGGGACGAGAGGACUAGACGAGUGGAAAGCGAGGUGGCAUGAGCGACACAGGGGAGCCAAGGGCAGUGUCCGGAGACCGAAGCCACCAAAGGAAAGCCACUGAGAUGUACCUGCCACCAUUCUGGAACCAGCUCUCUGAAGUCACUAUUAGCGGUUGUCACCAAGGAAAAGUCAUUUUGCCUCUUCCAGCUUCUGGUGAUGACAGUGGCCACCACAUUCAAAUCCAGCAUCUUUGACCUCUCUUUGUCCCAGCUUUAUCUUCUCCAUACAGUCCCAACCUGCUGCUCUCUCUAGAACGACAACAAUUCCUGUUUUUCUUCACAACAGACUGUUGCGGACACACAAGCAGAAAUAGAUCCUUUCCUCCCCAAAGUGUUGGGUGUUUAUCUCAGUGACAGAAACCCUCACGAAGACACCUCCUCAAGCCUUCUUCCUGCUGUGUCCUCUGGCCCUGCUUAACUUCUACAUUAAUUCAGAAGUUAUCUGCCACUUUCCCACUAACUACAAGUUUCUGAUUCCUGAGCCACACAUGCUUUUUUCCUUUAAAGCAUUAAAAAGAAAUGUCAGUGG